GUGGGGAAUAUUGGACAAUGGGCGAAAGCCUGAUCCAGCCAUGCCGCGUGUGUGAAGAAGGUCUUCGGAUUGUAAAGCACUUUAAGUUGGGAGGAAGGGCAGUAAGUUAAUACCUUGCUGUUUUGACGUUACCGCCAGAAUAAGCACCGGCUAACUUCGUGCCAGCAGCCGCGGUAAUACGAAGGGUGCAAGAGUUAAUCGGAAUUACUGGGCGUAAAGCGCGCGUAGGUGGUUUUGUAAGUUGGAGGUGAAAUCCCCGGGCUCAACCUGGGAACUGCCUCCAAAACUGCAUGACUAGAGUACGGUAGAGGGUAGUGGAAUUUCCUGUGUAGCGGUGAAAUGCGUAGAUAUAGGAAGGAACACCAGUGGCGAAGGCGACUACCUGGACUGAUACUGACACUGAGGUGCGAAAGCGUGGGGAGCAAACAGGAUUAGAUACCCCGGUAGUCC
rnacentral:rRNA from 1 species